rnacentral:rRNA from 1 species
AGAUUGAACGCUGGCGGCAUGCUUUACACAUGCAAGUCGAGCGGCAGCGCGGGGGGCAACCCUGGCGGCGAGCGGCGAACGGGUGAGGAACACAUCGGAACGUGCCCCGGAGUGGGGGAUAACGCCGCGAAAGCGGCGCUAAUACCGCAUAUGCUCUGAGGAGGAAAGCGGGGGACCUGUGAGGGCCUCGCGCUCUGGGAGCGGCCGAUGUCCGAUUAGCUAGUUGGUGGGUAAUGGCUCACCAAGGCGACGAUCGGUAGCUGGUCUGAGAGGAUGAUCAGCCACACUGGGACUGAGACACGGCCCAGACUCCUACGGGAGGCAGCAGUGGGGAAUUUGGACAAUGGGGGCAACCCUGAUCCAGCCAUGCCGCGUGCGGGAAGAGGCCUUCGGUUGUAACCGCUUUAGUCGGAAGAAAGGUUAUACCCUAAUAGGAUGACUAGUUGACGGUACCGGCGGUAAGUAAGCACGGCUAACUACGUGCCAGCAGCCGCGGUAAUCUA